AGACUGAGCUACAGUGGUUUGAGGUCAGUGCUCCAACCCUGUGUGCUGACCAUUGGCCUGACUGAACCCUGGUCUCUCAGCUCCCUCGGGUUCCCUGGCACAGCUCUGAGAUGCCGUGAAGGGAAGCAGUCACAUGGAAGCCAGGCCGCAUGGCGUCACACCCAGGAACCAACCGGGAGUUUUCUGGUGAUGGACACCUUCUCCCACCGUUGCCUAUCUGGCUUUUCGUCGCCUGCAUGUCUUCUGGACCAGCCUUGCCCUCGAGAUCCAGCUGCUCAGCCUCCCUAGCUGGUUUCAUCUCACAGUACGAGACCCCCGGGCCCCAGACCGUACAGCCAGUGGGUGCCAAAGCCAGAGUCAGAGCCCAGACCACCAUUCCAGACCCUCGGUACAGCUAAUGCUUAUGAAGCUGGCAGCUGUGCGUCACAUCUGCUCCAGGUGAAGGUGAGUCUCCUGUCACUCCCCGUCCACCUCCUCUCCAGCACUUCUGUGUCAGUCACUCGAGACUGGCUUCGCGUAGUCUCGUGUGAUCCGCUGCUGCUGAGGAGGGCGGAGUAGGUCCCCAUCUUCAGGUAAGAAUCCCAGCGCAGGAGGUCCGAGUGAUGUGGUCACGCCACACAUGGGCAGGAGGCCACUGUUUGCACUUGCGCGUUGGUGGCCCCGGGCUGUUAGGUUCAUUAACUGGACUUCUGAAAGGCGGUGGGGGUUGGUGGUUCCAUGUGACAGAGACCGAAGGCAGGAGCGACUCGUUCACUUGUGUUCCAUAUCUCUUGGUGAAAAGUCAUUCCAGGUCCCAUGAUUC
rnacentral:lncRNA from 1 species